rnacentral:lncRNA from 1 species
AUGCUAGAACCACAGGAGAAUGGCAUGAUUGACCUACCUGAUUAUGAGCAUGUAGAAGAUGAAACUUUUCCUCCAUUCCCGCCUCCAAUCUCUCCAGAGAGACAAGAUGUUGAAGGGGCUGAACCUGAUGAAGAGUCAGGAAGCAGAGUCCCGUACCUCCAAAGAGAACAGUUAAAAGAAGUAUACCCAAGCUGGAUGCUCAGAUAUUAAUUUCAGAGAGAGGACUUCCAGCCUUAAGGCAUGUAUUUGAUAACGCAAAAUUCAAAGGUAAAGGUCAUGAGGCUGAAGAUUUGAAGACUCUAAUCAGACACAUGGAGCACUGGGCACACAGGCUCUUCCCUAAACUGCAGUUUGAGGAUUUUAUUGACAGAGUUGAGUACCUGGGAAAUGAAAAGGAAGUUCAGGCUUGUUUAAAACAAAUCUCCCUAUUUUACCUGAAGAUUUUAUUAGCAAGAAUGAUGAAGUUGUGGGAAAUAAUGGACAUGAUGUAACCGCUACUGAAUUAGAUCCCUUUCUGACAAACUCAUCUGAAAGUGAGAUAUUUGCUUCUGAGUCAAGUAGAAGCCUAACAGAAGAGCAACAACAAAAAAUUGAGAGAAAUAAACAACUGGCUUUAGAAAGAAGGCAGGCAAAGCUGCUAAGUAAUAGUCCCUAGGAAAUGAUACAUUAAUGAAUGCACCCAGGGCAUAGAGAGUUGAGGUUAAUGCUGAUGAGGAUCAAAAGGAGGAAUCAAUUGGAUUAAGUGAAAACAUGCUAGACAAUCCAUGCAAUGAUGCUCCUGCUAAUACUUUAAAUGAAGCAGAGGAAUUAAAAUUAGAGGACACACUGCUGGAUCAGUCUUUCACAAAUGUGCAACAGUAACUUAAAGCUUCAUCCAGAAAUGUUACUGAAUGCU